rfam:Ciona savignyi cont_62590, whole genome shotgun sequence.
GCCCGGUUAGCUCAGCCGGUAGAGCGUUGGACUUUUAAUCCAAAGGCCAAGGGUUCAAAUCCCUUAUCGGGCU